AGUGAACGCUGGCGGCGUGCCUAAUACAUGCAAGUCGAACGGAGAUUAAGUAGCUUGCUAUUUAAUCUUAGUGGCGCACGGGUGAGUAAUAUAUAGCUAACUUGCCCAUUACUAAGGGACAACAGUUGGAAACGACUGCUAAUACCUUAUACUCCGUAUCUAUAUAAGUAGAUACGGGAAAGUUUUUCGGUAAUGGAUAGGGCUAUAUCGUAUCAGCUAGUUGGUAAGGUAAUGGCUUACCAAGGCUAUGACGCGUAACUGGUCUGAGAGGAUGAUCAGUCACACUGGAACUGAGACACGGUCCAGACUCCUACGGGAGGCAGCAGUAGGGAAUAUUGCUCAAUGGGGGAAACCCUGAAGCAGCAACGCCGCGUGGAGGAUGACACUUUUCGGAGCGUAAACUCCUUUUCUUGGGAAAGAAUUAUGACGGUACCCAAGGAAUAAGCACCGGCUAACUCCGCG
rnacentral:rRNA from 1 species